UACGAAGGGGGCUAGCGUUGCUCGGAAUCACUGGGCGUAAAGCGCACGUAGGCGGAUUGUUAAGUCAGGGGUGAAAUCCUGGAGCUCAACUCCAGAACUGCCUUUGAUACUGGCGAUCUCGAGUCCGAGAGAGGUGAGUGGAAUUCCGAGUGUAGAGGUGAAAUUCGUAGAUAUUCGGAGGAACACCAGUGGCGAAGGCGGCUCACUGGCUCGGUACUGACGCUGAGGUGCGAAAGCGUGGGGAGCAAACAGG
rnacentral:rRNA from 1 species